UCCCUGGUGGUCCAGUGGUUAGGACUUGGCACUUUCACUGCCAUGGCUUGGCUUCAAUCCCUGGCCAGGGAA